AGAGUUUGAUCCUGGCUCAGGAUGAACGCUGGCGGCAGGCUUAGUACAUGCAAGUCGAACGGUAAGGCCGAGCGUAGCAAUACGCGAGGUACACGAGUGGCGCACGGGUGCGUAACGCGUAUGCAACCUGCCCCCUUCCGGGACAAAACGUCGAGAAAUUUGGCGCUAAUAUCCCAUGGCGACCUCGGGAGGCAUCUCUGGGGGUCCAAAGAUUCAUUGGAAGGGGAUGGGCAUGCGUAUCAUUAGCUUGUUGGCGGGGUAACGGCCCACCAAGGCGACGAUGAUUAGGGGUUCUGAGAGGAAAGUCCCCCACACUGGAACUGAGACACGGUCCAGACUCCUACGGGAGGCAGCAGUAGGGAAUAUUGGGCAAUGGGAGCAAUCCUGACCCAGCCAAUGCCGCGUGAAGGAAUACGGCCCUACGGGUCUUAAACUUCUUUUGCCGCGGAGUAACCGCCGGGACGGGUCCCGGCCUGAGAGUACGCGGCGAAUAAGUAUCGGCUAACUCCGUGCCAGCAGCCGC
rnacentral:rRNA from 1 species